UUUGCAGACACACUUGAAAACGGAAUCAUGGAACAAUCAAAUAAAGCUGCUGAAUUUCCAAAACCCACUCAUCCUUCAAAUUAUGCAGGAAAUCAAGUUCCUUACGGAUAUCCUCAGUAUGCACCUCAAACUUUCCAAAAUGCUCCUGGACAACCUAAUUAUGCCUUACAGGGUUACCCAGCAGGAGCUUCAUAUGGACCUCUAGUCCAAAAUCAACCUUCUGGGCCCAGUGGUGGGGCAGCUUGGAUGCCAGCACCUCCUCCCCCUCUUAAUUGUCCACCUGGAUUAGAAUACCUAACUCAGAUUGACCAGAUAUUAAUUCAUCAGCAGAUUGAGCUUCUGGAAGCUCUUAUCGGUUUUGAAACUAACAAUAAAUAUGAACUCAAAAACAGCUUGGGGCAAAGAGUGUAUUUUGCAGCAGAGGAAAAUGACUGUUGUACUCGAAAUUGUUGUGGACCGUCACGACCUUUUACCAUUAAGAUUGUUGACAAUAUGGGUCAAGAAGUAAUAACAUUGCAGAGACCUCUCAGGUGCUCUUCAUGUUGUUUUCCUUGCUGCUUGCAAGAGCUUGAAGUUCAGGCCCCUCCAGGUACACCAGUUGGCUACAUAAAACAAAACUGGCACCCUUGUCUACCUAAAUUUACUGUUCAAAACGAAGCAAAAAUGGAUAUAUUUAAAAUCAUUGGUCCAUGUGUUGUAUGCAGCUGUUGUCAGGAUGUUAAUUUUGAGGUAAAAUCGAUGGAUGAAAGUUCUGUAGUUGGAAGAAUUUCUAAGCAAUGGACUGGAUUUGUAAAAGAGGCAUUUACAGAUGCUGAUAAUUUUGGAAUCCAAUUUCCACUGGAUCUUGAUGUUAAGAUGAAAGCUGUCAUGAUUGGUGCUUGCUUCCUUAUUGAUUUCAUGUUUUUUGAACACACCGGGGACAAGGGCCAACGAGCAGGAGUGUGGCAGUAGAGUCUACAGUUGGACUAAAAUGUGCUUACAGAGAAAAGUUUCAUAGUGCUUUGUGCCCUUUUUCUAAAAUACAUUGCAAAAAUCGAAUAUGUAUAAAAUGUGUCUGCAGCUUUUGCAUAUUGGUAGUUUCUAUUCUAUUUUAUUGUUUUGAUAUUGCAAAUACAGUUCUAUAUAUCUGAAUGAAAUAUAGAUUAGGUUUGUAUAAAUACUGUGAAAUGUAUAUGAAUCUUCCCUGAGUGGAAUUGAAAUUAAAAACAAAUUUCUUCAUUCUUGUGAGCACUUUUGUAGUACUGAAACAUUGAGAGCAAUUCUCUGUCACUUGCACACUAUCUACAGUUAAGAACAUAAUGGUCCUACUGGGUCAAACCACAGGUCCAUUUAGCUUAGUAUCCUGUAUUCUGCUACAUGCUCCAGAGGGAGUGAACAAAAAUAAGUAAGCAUCAAGUGAUCCUUCUCCUGUCAUCCAUUUCCAGCCCCUGACAGACAGAGGUUAUUCCUACCCUUUCAUUCCUACCCAUUCUGGCUAAUAAGUUUUGAUGGACCUACCUACAUGAAUUUAUCUAGUUCUUUUUGGAACCCUAUUAAUGUCCUGGUCUCCACAGCAUUCUCUGGCAAGGAGUUCCACAGGUUGACGGUGUGCUGUGUGUGGGGGGGGAAACCCUUCCUUUUGUUUGUUUUAAACCUGUUGUCUAUUAAUUUCAUUUGGUGACCCCUAGCAUUUCCUAGUUAAUCCUAUGACAAGAGCAGAUUUUUAAUAUUCAACUUUAGCAAUGUUAUUAUAUAUAAUUUGUUUCAGUUCUCUCUAAUUUCUAUAUUUUGUUUAAUUUUGAUAAUAUAUACCAGCAUUUGUAUUUGUAAAGAUUUUGAUUUAAAAUAUAUAUAAUAUAAUAUAAUAUAAUAAUUAAAUAAAAUUAUAUGAAAGCA